ACAGGCUAGACGAGUCGACUAGACCAAUGAUCGAUCCCGCCCCUAUUCGUAGCUCUAGCCCGAACCCAUCUUCUACUUUGUCUUCUCUUCGUUAGGUUUAGGUUUAAGCUGAUUAUAAAUGGGCUUACUUUUCUUCUUUUUUAACGGACAUAAGGUUAUUAACUAUGACCAGAAAGUCAAAUAUGGUUUUUUGCGAUGUGUAACAGUGUAUGGGAUUACAUCGAAGCUAUGAACUAAGGAAUUAUUUAAAAACCAUUUAUUCCACUUGGACGAGUUAAUUAGUUUUGAUCUUUCACGUCACAUGGAUCUGCUUUUCAAGUGGCCAUCACUUAGCUUGAAGAGGCGUUGUUGAUUGAGCCAAAGAAACAUGCUGCCAUUUGGUGCCUCAGUAAUGCAUACACCGCGCUUGUGUUUUUGACUCCUGAAGAGUCUGAAGCUAAAUAAAACUUUGACUUAGUUUCUCACUUCUUUCAACUUGCUGGGAUGAGGUCAUUUGCUUUUCCAUUUGAGAUCAAGGGUUAAUAAUACCGUUUCUUUUUGGUAUUUGGUUUUGAAUACUUGUUUCAUCUUUGCAGCAACCGGAAAAUGAAGCCUACCAUAAAUCACUUGAAAUGACAGCAAAUGUAUUGUAGAUUAGAACAAUUAACCGACUUAGUUCAUGUUUUUGCCUGGUUUAAGGAGUUUUCAUCCUUGCAUAAAGAAUGAAAUAUUGUUGCUGCACUGUGGUUUAGUGAAAGAUUAUUCUCUUUGUUUUAAGCACAAGCUCUUAACUUGUAAAGAUUCGAUUUGUUGACCAAUUCAUAGGAAGGGUAUAUGUUUCAGCUGA